rnacentral:rRNA from 1 species
GACGAACGCUGGCGGCGUGCCUAAUACAUGCAAGUAGAACGCUGAAGAGAGGAGCUUGCUCUUCUUGGAUGAGUUGCGAACGGGUGAGUAACGCGUAGGUAACCUGCCUUGUAGCGGGGGAUAACUAUUGGAAACGAUAGCUAAUACCGCAUAACAAUGGAUGACACAUGUCAUUUAUUUGAAAGGGGCAAUUGCUCCACUACAAGAUGGACCUGCGUUGUAUUAGCUAGUAGGUGAGGUAACGGCUCACCUAGGCGACGAUACAUAGCCGACCUGAGAGGGUGAUCGGCCACACUGGGACUGAGACACGGCCCAGACUCCUACGGGAGGCAGCAGUAGGGAAUCUUCGGCAAUGGGGGCAACCCUGACCGAGCAACGCCGCGUGAGUGAAGAAGGUUUUCGGAUCGUAAAGCUCUGUUGUAAGUCAAGAACGAGUGUGAGAGUGGAAAGUUCACACUGUGACGGUAGCUUACCAGAAAGGGACGGCUAACUACGUGCCAGCAGCCGCGGUAAUACGUAGGUCCCGAGCGUUGUCCGGAUUUAUUGGGCGUAAAGCGAGCGCAGGCGGUUUGAUAAGUCUGAAGUUAAAGGCUGUGGCUCAACCAUAGUUCGCUUUGGAAACUGUCAAACUUGAGUGCAGAAGGGGAGAGUGGAAUUCCAUGUGUAGCGGUGAAAUGCGUAGAUAUAUGGAGGAACACCGGUGGCGAAAGCGGCUCUCUGGUCUGUAACUGACGCUGAGGCUCGAAAGCGUGGGGAGCGAACAGGAUUAGAUACCCUGGUAGUCCACGCCGUAAACGAUGAGUGCUAGGUGUUGGAUCCUUUCCGGGAUUCAGUGCCGCAGCUAACGCAUUAAGCACUCCGCCUGGGGAGUACGACCGCAAGGUUGAAACUCAAAGGAAUUGACGGGGGCCCGCACAAGCGGUGGAGCAUGUGGUUUAAUUCGAAGCAACGCGAAGAACCUUACCAGGUCUUGACAUCCCGAUGCUAUUUCUAGAGAUAGAAAGUUACUUCGGUACAUCGGUGACAGGUGGUGCAUGGUUGUCGUCAGCUCGUGUCGUGAGAUGUUGGGUUAAGUCCCGCAACGAGCGCAACCCCUAUUGUUAGUUGCCAUCAUUCAGUUGGGCACUCUAGCGAGACUGCCGGUAAUAAACCGGAGGAAGGUGGGGAUGACGUCAAAUCAUCAUGCCCCUUAUGACCUGGGCUACACACGUGCUACAAUGGUUGGUACAACGAGUUGCGAGUCGGUGACGGCAAGCUAAUCUCUUAAAGCCAAUCUCAGUUCGGAUUGUAGGCUGCAACUCGCCUACAUGAAGUCGGAAUCGCUAGUAAUCGCGGAUCAGCACGCCGCGGUGAAUGCGUUCCCGGGCCU